AGGGCUCAACGAGAGCGUGACAAUGCUGCCAGAUUGGGGAGAAGUCGUCAGCACUUCACUGAGAGGGAAAAAGACAUGGCGAUUGCUCUGUACUAUGGCUAUGCAAUGUAGGAGAUGAUGGGAGUGCUGGCGCCCCUUUCUUUCGGCACCGGCUGUUUUUCCAUAGAGAGGUAGCUCCAUAGAUAGAUAAUAGGUUGGCAGAUAGACAUGAAUUUCAGAAUCUGGAUAGAUUUUACCACUCAACAAAACUGAACAAAUAUGGGAAAUCGGUCGUCCGACCUGGGUAGAGGGGCGAAAGACCAAUGGAACCGUCUAGCAGCUGGUUCCCUCCGCAGUUUCCCUCGGGAUAGCUGGCGCUCUGGCAGACGCACAAAAGACGCACUUUGAUCCAUCCGGUCAAGCGAAUCAUUAGAGGUCUUGGGGCAGAAAGGAUCUCAACGUAGUCUCAAACUUUCUUUCAAUGGGGCAGAAGCCCGGCUCGCUGGCGUGGAGCCGGGCGUGGAAUGCGAGUGCCUAGCGGGCCACUUUUGGCAAGCAGAACUGGCGCUGCGGGGUGAACCGAACGCCUGCUUAAGGCGCCCGAUGCCGACGCUCAUCAGACCCCAGAAAAGGUGUUGGUUGAUAGCGACAGCAGGACGGGGGUCAUGGAAGUCGGAAUCCGCUAACGAGUGUGUAACAACUCACCUGUGGAAUCAACGAGCCCUGAAAACGGAUGGCGCCGGUGCCGCGGGCCCAUACCCGGCUGUAGUUCUUCCAAGGAGAACUUGGAAGGCCAAAGUGGAGAAGGGUUCCAUGAGAACAGCAGUUGCACAUGGGUCAGUCGGUCCUGAGAGAUGGGCGAGCGCCAUUCCGAGGGGACCGGCAAUGGGCCUCCGUUGCCCUCAGCCGAUCGAAAGGGAGUCGUGUUCAGAUCCCGAAUCCCGAGUGGCGGAGACGGGCGCCCGA
rfam:Myotis lucifugus cont2.55321, whole genome shotgun sequence.